CAAACUUGGAUCCAUAUGUUGGUAAUCGCUUCUUUCAAUUUAUGAUCAUCCAAACAUCACGUUCUUGAUCAUUGGAGCACUUAAUCGACGGUAACAACAUCAAUCCCAUCUUAGGUUCUUUAAUUUAUGUCUUUUUUUUUGUAAUUUUGUAUAUGCUUUGGAUUAUCAUCGACUGAAAAAUCUGAUUUCUGGUCAAACCCUAAAAUGGUGAUGGAUCAUCACACGUAAAUUCUUCUUUCUUCAAUAUCGUUUACUUUUUGGUUUACGUCCGAUUCAUCGCUUCGUCUACCAAAACCCUAACUCCCUCCCACACAAUUAAUUCGGCAUCUCAUCUACUCAUCUGGUAUGUAGGAGAUAGAUACGCGUAAUCGGAAGCCUACUCAGGGUGCAGAUUGCUCUGUUGUCAUGGAAUCUGGUGAUUGGAGGGCUGAAGUGUCAGCGGAUUCACGGAAAAGGAUAAGAUACAAGAUAUCGGAAACCUUGAACAGGAAUAUUCCAUUCUCUACAUUAGAGGGACUACAGGAGCUUAAGAAAGUAGCUGUGAGGUUUGAAGAGAAGAUUUAUGCUGCUUCCAUAAGCACGAUUUGUUGUGCUGUGUCCUUUAAUAUUACAUAAAAUAGUUAUGUAGUGUUUGCUUUUUUUUCUCUUUUGUGGAAUGGAGAUUUUGUAAGUGUUUAUGUACAGAUGAUUUGAAAUUGCACAAGAAAGUGAUAUCAUGUUUCAUUGCGGGACCUAAACUUAUGUAUUUUAUUUGGUUUGCAGUCUGAUUAUUUACGGAAGAUAUCCUUGAAGAUGCUGACUUUGGAAUCAGAUGAUCCCAUGUCAGAGUCAGACCCCAUGCAGUCAAACUCUGCUGCUAAUAGUGUAAACCCGCCGAUCAUAUUUCAUAAUACACCAUCAUUCAAUAGCCAGGGUGUAAGUGGCGUUGUUGGUGACUGGAGGGCUCCAUUGGAACGGGAACGGGUCGUGAACAAGAUGUAUGAACUUUUAUUUUUCUUUUAUGAAAAGAUCCAAUAUUAUGAUACAAUAUUAAUAGUUGGAGGAGGGCCGACUGUUGUGGAACUCGUGGAUAUUAUGAUACAAUAUUAAUAGUUGGAGGAAGGCCCACUGUUGUGGAACUCGUGGAUGAAGUUGCAGAUUAUGAAAAGAUUCAAUAUUCUGAUACAAUAUCAUUAUAUGGUUCAUCGUGGAUCAAAGAGACUAUUCUCGAUUUGAUUGUUUGGAUGAUCAUGGAUGGUUAAUGGUUGAUGAGAAUUUAUAGGUCAGGGUUUUCGCUAAUAUUUUUGCGAUUGGAGUUGUUACCGAUGUUCAUGUAAGUUGGCCCAUUUAUGCAUUCUUUUCAUGUUUUUCUUUUUCUCUCAAAAAAAUAAUAUUUAUGUACUUUUUUUAUAGAUGUGGUACAUUGACGUUUCUCACACAUUUUUUUCGGCCAUGUAUUUAACUCUGGGUCAGAGUCACUCAAAGUGUAUCUAUAAAGCCAUAUUCUAAA